rnacentral:rRNA from 1 species
AUUGAACGCUGGCGGCAGGCCUAACACAUGCAAGUCGAACGGCAGCACAGAGAGCUUGCUCUCGGGUGACGAGUGGCGGACGGGUGAGUAAUGUCUGGGAAACUGCCCGAUGGAGGGGGAUAACUACUGGAGACGGUAGCUAAUACCGCAUAACGUCGCAAGACCAAAGAGGGGGACCUUCGGGCCUCUUGCCAUCGGAUGUGCCCAGGUGGGAGUUAGCUUG